rnacentral:rRNA from 1 species
CAUUUAGUGGGGAAUAACUGUUGGAAACGACAGCUAAUACCGCAUAAUAUUGCUGGAUAAUUUCCAGUAAUGAAAGGAGCUUUCAAGCUCCGCUGAUUGAUGAGGAUGCGGCGCAUUAGCUAGUUGGUAGGGUAAUGGCCUACCAAGGCAAUGAUGCGUAGCCGAUCUGAGAGGAUGAACGGCACAUUGGGACUGAGACACGGCCCAAACUUCUACGGAAGGCAGCAGUAGGGAAUUUUCCACAAUGGGCGAAAGCCUGAUGGAGCAAUGCCGCGUGACUGAUGAAGGUCUUCGGAUUGUAAAGGUCUGUUGUAAGGGAAGAAAUGGUAAAACAGGAAAUGGUUUUAUCUAUGACGGUACCUUACCAGAAAGCCACGGCUAACUAUGUGCCNGCAGCCGCGGUAAUACAUAGGUGGCAAGCGUUAUCCGGAUUUAUUGGGCGUAAAGGGNGCGUAGACGGUUUUGCAAGUCUGAGGUUAAAUUUAGGAGCUCAACUCCUAAUCGCCUUG